GAUGAACGCUGGCGGCGUGCCUAAUACAUGCAAGUCGAGCGAACGGACGAGAAGCUUGCUUCUCUGAUGUUAGCGGCGGACGGGUGAGUAACACGUGGAUAACCUACCUAUAAGACUGGGAUAACUUCGGGAAACCGUAGCUAAUACCGGAUAAUAUUUUGAACCGCAUGGUUCAAAAGUGAAAGACGGUCUUGCUGUCACUUAUAGAUGGUGUCGCGCUGCAUUAGCUAGUUGGUAAGGUAACGGCUUACCAAGGCAACGAUGCGUAGCCGACCUGAGAGGGUGAUCAGCCACACUGGAACUGAGACACGGUCCAGACUCCUACGGGAGGCAGCAGUGGGGAAUCUUCCACAAUGGGCGAAAGCCUGACGGAGCAACGCCGCGUGGGUGAUGAAGGUCUUCGGAUCGUAAAACUCUGUUAUUAGGGAAGAACAUAUGUGUAAGUAACUGUGCACGUCUUGACGGUACCUAAUCAGAAAGCCACGGCUAACUACGUG
rnacentral:rRNA from 1 species